UACGGAGGAUGCAAGCGUUGUCCGGAAUUAUUGGGCGUAAAGGGUGCGUAGGCGGUUUGAUAAGUUUGGUGUGAAAUCUCUGGGCUCAACCCAGAGUCUGCAUCGAAAACUGUCGGGCUUGAGUAUGGGAGAGGUGAGUGGAAUUUCCGGUGUAGCGGUGAAAUGCGUAGAUAUCGGAAGGAACACCUGUGGCGAAAGCGGCUCACUGGACCAUAACUGACGCUGAUGCACGAAAGCUAGGGGAGCAAACAGG
rnacentral:rRNA from 1 species